rnacentral:rRNA from 1 species
AACGAACGCUGGCGGCAUGCCUAACACAUGCAAGUCGAACGAGACCUUCGGGUCUAGUGGCGCACGGGUGCGUAACGCGUGGGAAUCUGCCCAAAGGUACGGAAUAACUCGGGGAAACCCGUGCUAAUACCGUAUGAUGUCUUCGGACCAAAGAUUUAUCGCCUUUGGAUGAGCCCGCGUCGGAUUAGCUUGUUGGUGAGGUAAAAGCUCACCAAGGCGACGAUCCGUAGCUGGUCUGAGAGGAUGAUCAGCCACACUGGGACUGAGACACGGCCCAGACUCCUACGGGAGGCAGCAGUGGGGAAUAUUGGACAAUGGCGGCAAGCCUGAUCCAGCAAUGCCGCGUGAGUGAUGAAGGCCUUAGGGUUGUAAAGCUCUUUUACCCGGGAUGAUAAUGACAGUACCGGGAGAAUAAGCUCCGGCUAACUCCGUGCCAGCAGCCGCGGUAAUACGGAGGGAGCUAGCGUUGUUCGGAAUUACUGGGCGUAAAGCGCACGGU